AAGACUAUACUUUCAGGGCUCAUUUCUAUAGUUCAUUACUAGAGAAGUUUCUCUGACUGUGUAGAGCACCGGAAAUCAUGAGGAGGAGGUGUAGCGUUCUCUCCUGAGCGGGAAGCUGGCUCUUGGUGCUGCUUUGUUACAACGGCCAUUUGCCAUUGAUGAUCAUUCCUUCUCCUCUCUGGGAGUUGGAGGAGAGGAUGCAGUCUGAGUGGCU
ensembl:snoRNA